rnacentral:rRNA from 1 species
CAGUAGCCGCGGUAAUACGUAGGGUGCGAGCGUUAAUCGGAAUUACUGGGCGUAAAGCGUGCGCAGGCGGUUAUAUAAGACAGAUGUGAAAUCCCCGGGCUCAACCUGGGACCUGCAUUUGUGACUGUAUAGCUAGAGUACGGUAGAGGGGGAUGGAAUUCCGCGUGUAGCAGUGAAAUGCGUAGAUAUGCGGGGGAACACCGAUGGCGAAGGCAAUCCCCUGGACCUGUACUGAUGCUCAUGCACGAAAGCGUGGGGAGCAAACAGGAUUAGAUACCCCCGUAGUCCCUGUCUCUUAUAC